UACGUAGGGCGCAAGCGUUGUCCGGAAUUAUUGGGCGUAAAGAGCUCGUAGGCGGCUUGUCACGUCGGGUGUGAAAGCCCGGGGCUUAACCCCGGGUCUGCAUUCGAUACGGGCUAGCUAGAGUGUGGUAGGGGAGAUCGGAAUUCCUGGUGUAGCGGUGAAAUGCGUAGAUAUUGGGAAGAACACCUGAGGCGAAGGCGGGUUGCUGGGCUGACACUGACGCUGAGGCGCGAAAGCCAGGGGAGCAAACGGG
rnacentral:rRNA from 1 species